GGGUUGUGAGGUUAAGCGACCAAGCGUACACGGUGGAUGCCCUGGCAGUCAGAGGCGAUGAAGGACGUGCUAAUCUGCGAAAAGCGCCGGUAAGGUGAUAUGAACCGUUAUAACCGGCGAUGUCCGAAUGGGGAAACCCAGUGUGACUCGUCACACUAUCAUUAACUGAAUCCAUAGGUUAAUGAGGCGAACCGGGGGAACUGAAACAUCUAAGUACCCCGAGGAAAAGAAAUCAACCGAGAUUCCCCCAGUAGCGGCGAGCGAACGGGGAGGAGCCCAGAGCCUGAAUCAGCAUGUGUGUUAGUGGAAGCGUCUGGAAAGGCGCGCGAUACAGGGUGACAGCCCCGUACACAAAAGCGCAUAUGCUGUGAGCUCGAUGAGUAGGGCGGGACACGUGGUAUCCUGUCUGAAUAUGGGGGGACCAUCCUCCAAGGCUAAAUACUCCUGACUGACCGAUAGUGAACCAGUACCGUGAGGGAAAGGCGAAAAGAACCCCGGCGAGGGGAGUGAAACAGAACCUGAAACCGUGUACGUACAAGCAGUGGGAGC
rnacentral:rRNA from 1 species